GCCUGGGUGGCUCAGUCGGUUGAGCGUCUGACUUCGGCCCAGGUCACGAUCUCGUGGUCCGUGGGUUCGAACCCCGCAUCGGGCU
rnacentral:tRNA from 1 species